AGGGUAAUAGCUCAGGGGUAGAGCACGUGCUUAGCAUGCACGAGGUCCUGGGUUCCAUCCCCAGUCCCUC
rnacentral:tRNA from 1 species